GGAAAGGGAUGGUGACGAAUGAUCACUUGUGCUCCUUUUUGUGCCUUUCUUUGGCUCCUUUGGCAUUUUAUAAAUGUUUUGUUAAAUGUGUAAGCUCAUUGUCGGGAGUGAAACGAGUUUUUCCAGGGGAAAAUGUGAGCCCCGUUCUGGGUUCAGUCGCAGUUUUCCGUGUUAUCCUGGGUCCACGCACAUGGACGAUCGAUGCGAACGGUAACAGAGAUGAGCAGCGGAGCAGAUGUGAGGCUGGCCAGCCUUUAAAGCCAUGCGGUUGGAGUCCGCGGCCCAGUGGAGUAUGUGUGCUUGCUGAAAGGAGCUGCUGAGAACACACCGCCACCAAGCCGCUUUCCCGUUCGGAUCUUCCCCCCCUCCCACUCCCCGCGACCCCGCCAGGCGGGCCUCCCACCCCGUCAUGUCGGCAGAAGUGGAGACCAGCACAAGCAGCGGGGCUGAGACAGCCCCCGUCAAGACCCCCUCCAAGAAGGAGAAGAAGAAAGGCCCAGAGAAGACCGAUGAGUUCCUGCUGGCCAGGUUCAAAGGUGAUGGAGUGCGGUAUAAAGCCAAACUGAUUGGUGUGGAUGAUGUUCCUGAAGCCAGAGGCGACAAAAUGAGCCAGGACUCCAUGAUGAAACUUAAGGGCAUGGCAGUAGCAGCACGCUCCCAGGGAAAGCACAAACAGAGAAUCUGGGUCAACAUAUCCUUAUCUGGGAUCAAAAUUAUUGACGAGAAAACCGGAGUAAUAGAGCACGAACAUGCUGUGAACAAGAUCUCCUUCAUUGCUCGGGAUGUGACAGACAACCGGGCGUUUGGCUACGUUUGCGGCGCCGAGGGCCAGCACCAGUUUUUUGCCAUAAAGACCGCCCAGCAGGCUGAGCCUCUUGUCAUUGACCUGAAGGAUCUCUUCCAGUUAAUUUUCAAUAUGAAGAAGAAAGAGGCAGAGGGCACAAAGAAGGAUGAAACGGAUAACAACAAGGUGGUAGAGAAUGGCAGCGAUGCCUUGCUUAGCAUUGAAGGCCAGGAGGAUAACGUGAAAGGUGUGGAACAGCUGGACCUGUUUGGAGACAUGUCGACACCACCGGAUUUGCACUCUCCCUCAGAGACUAAAGAUAUCCUAUUGCUGGAUCUAUCCACUGACAUUGACAGCAAUCAGAACUGUGUUAAAGGAAAUCCCUUCACCACUUCCUGUUCCUCUGUCCUUUGGCCCAGGCCUCAGCUCAGCGCCUCGCCUGAAAACCCCUUCUCUUCUCAGCUCAGCUUCUUUCCCGCUCCCAUUCCUGACCCUUUUAGUGAUGAUCCCUUCACCAAAAGCAGCCAGUCCGCACUCUCCAGCUCUGUAAUCGGCUCCCUCGACCUCAACCAGGAGAGCGCUAAUCACCUCCUUAGCGGGGCCAAGGCGAACGGCGGUCAGAAUGGAGACUCUGACCUCUUUGGUCAGCAGUUUGAUCAGAUAUCCAAUAGGACUGUGGCGCAGGCUCUGACUAACGGCCAGUGGUUGCCGGAGGGUAGCUCAGUGGAGUCGGCCCCCUGGACUCAGAACAGCGUCCCCGCGACGGAGCAAAAUGGCAUACAUUGCAAAGCCCCCCAGAACCCCUUUUUCGAAGCCUUGGCAAAGAGCAGCCCACCUUUGCAAAACGGGGCAGCGCAUGAGCUGGCGGGCAAGCCCGAGGCCUCCACCCCCCCAGCUAAGGACUCUGUGAUCAUUAGCCCUCCCCCACUCAACACAAAGGCUGGACGAGGACGGAGGAGCGUGAAGUCACCAACAAAUGACCUUUUUGGAGCAGACCUGUUUGCUCCACCCAGCCAGUCAGAAGCUCCGCCUCCAUCUCAGACUGACGGUCUGCAGUCCAACGCAAUCGAUCUCUUCAGCAGUGGCCCAACCAACACUGCCAACCCCGUGCCAGGUCUCGGUGCCCUGCAGCUGGGACAGCCCUCAGCCCCCCCUUCCUCCACAGUGUCACCGUGGGGCCCGCCAGCUCCCGCCAUGUUCCCCGUCCGAGGCGGAGUCCCCCAGGUUACAAUGGCAGGUCCCCAGACGAGUCCUUUCCCCCAGCCAUCGGCAUUCGGCGCCCCGCCUGUACCAGCAUGGGGGCCGAUGGCCCCUCCGUUUGGGGCGGCCCCCACACCCCAGCCCCCAGCCUGGGGUCAGUCGGCCACCCCGGCGCCCCUUGGAGCCUGGCCCCAGCCCGCCGCCCGUACCAACCCCUUCCAGCCUGGUGUGUUCCCUGGACCCAUGAUGCAGCAGCCCACUAGCCCCCCGCCUCAGCCCCCGCCCCGGCCGGCCCCCCUGAAGGAGCCCCCCAGGGUGGAGAACAAUGCCUUCACCGCCCUUGACCCCCUGGGGGACAAGGAGAAGAAGACCGGGAAGGACAUGUUCAAAGACUUCCAGCUAGCCAAGCCGCCUGCUGUCCCGGCCAGGAAGGGGGAGCAGACAACGCCUCCCAGCGGCAGCAGCGGGGCCUUCAACCAGUACUUCUCCAGCAAAGUGGGGGUCGCUCAGGACGUGGCCGAUCACGAUGACUUCGACAUAAAUCAGAUAUCAACCCAAAUCAAUGAGCCACCCAAACCUGCGCCCAGGCAGUCCACCCCUGUUACUGCUACCCUGGCCCCUGCCCCUGCCCCUGCCCCUGCCCUGGCUCCAGCACUGACCCUGGCUCCGGCCCUGGCCCCUGCCCAGAGCCUGUUUGAUGAUGCCUUUGGGGUGGAUCCCUUUGGAGCUCCCCCUGCCACAAGCCCUCAGCCUGCCCCACUCCCCGCUGCUGCGGACGCCUUUGGUGACCCCUUCGGCAACCCCUUCGCCUGAGCACUGCCCUCCCUCCUGCCAUUGCCACGGAUUCCCAUGUGAGUGUUCCCAGCACGGAAGGCUUUGUUGUGAUCCAGAGUUUACCUUUGAAGGACUGCCGCAGCACAGGUGCUGCAGCCUCCCCCAGAUGGUUCUGACACGCCAUGCCACCUCGAGAUUCCCUACUCACCUGUCACUCAUGCAGCGUCAUUCCAGUUGUCCCUCAGCCACUCUUUUUCCACAGACAAUCAAUGACCUUUUUAGUUUAGUUACCAGGCAGUGCAUUCCCUGACUCUGUGCAGAAGGGGAAGCGUACCCUGGCCCAGUCACCAAGACCCCGGGCAUCGCUGGAUACACGGACCCACACGCACAUGCAUGUAAAACAUCAGCCCAGGGGGAAGUGUGUGAUAUUAAAGAGAAGGAAAUGAACCCCUCUGAGUGUGCUUUGUUUGAACCCACCUCCACCUGCUCUGUGUCUGCACCACCAGCUCUUGCUCUUCACAGGGGACAGUGUGCCACUUCGAGAGGGUCACAGAGUGACAUGUAGUGUUGAUAGCACUUUCCCAACAGUCUGCACUCAUCUCCUUCCUAUGCAGGUUCAAGAAAGCUCCAUAAAGCUCCAUUUACACACUGCAGUACAAGGCACAGUGCUCAUCACACCUACUCCAAGCCAGGGAAGUGACAGUGCUGUUUUGCAGUACUGAACCAAUUGUGCCACCAUUCCUUAAAGCCCUUACAUUUUUUGAGAGUGGUCCUGGUACAAUCCAACUUUGUCUUUAAUUGUCUCCUUGCUUCUGCUCUUUUUAUGCUUAGUACACUGCUCUCUGUUGUCAUUUUAUUUAGCGCACGUAGUAGUGGGUCAAGCAUGCAGUCCCCAAAAUCACCUUCUCUCUUCACUGGACUGGAAACAUCAUAAACAUCACUCCUAUGCUAUUGUCAGCUCUGUAUGCAGUCCUUGUUUCUGUCCUGUUGAUCCAGAACAAACAUGGCUUUAAAACGCUUCUAUUCCAAAUCAUCUCAGGAUAUUGUGUAGUUCUGGACUCGAGUCUGUGCUUUAAGAAAAUGCAGCCGUUUAUUAACGCCAGACCAUGAGGAAUGUUGAAGUUUUGCCAUAGUGUUUUUCCCUUGAAUGAUCAGUGUUGUAUCUCUUAAAUUAAACAAAUGUACUUCAUGUAAUUCCAUAAAUGAGAAAUAUGACCGAUCAAUGCCCAGCCUUAGUUGUAGGACACACACACACACACACACACACGUGCGCGCGUGCACAAAAAAGAAAAAAAAAACAUACUGGAAAUUGAGCCUUUUCCAAAUUUUUUCUAUGUUAAUGAGUGCGUCUAAGUCUAUGUUUGUUGGUGUGUAUGUGUGUGUAUGUCUGUAUAUAUAUAUGUAAAAAAUAUAUAUUCUAUGUUGUGCACUACCCCUUUCUCCUGGAUGU